rnacentral:rRNA from 1 species
AGUGAACGCUGGCGGUAGGCCUUACACAUGCAAGUCGAACGGCAGCACAGUAAGAGCUUGCUCUUACGGGUGGCGAGUGGCGGACGGGUGAGGAAUACAUCGGAAUCUACUUUUUCGUGGGGGAUAACGUAGGGAAACUUACGCUAAUACCGCAUACGACCUACGGGUGAAAGCAGGGGAUCUUCGGACCUUGCGCGAUUGAAUGAGCCGAUGUCGGAUUAGCUAGUUGGCGGGGUAAAGGCCCACCAAGGCGACGAUCCGUAGCUGGUCUGAGAGGAUGACCAGCCACACUGGAACUGAGACACGGUCCAGACUCCUACGGGAGGCAGCAGUGGGGAAUAUUGGACAAUGGGCGCAAGCCUGAUCCAGCCAUACCGCGUGGGUGAAGAAGGCCUUCGGGUUGUAAAGCCCUUUUGUUGGGAAAGAAAAGCAGCAGGUUAAUACCCCGCUGUUCUGACGGUACCCAAAGAAUAAGCACCGGCUAACUUCGUG